rnacentral:rRNA from 1 species
GUAGACGGCCAUGCCACCCUGAACCAGCCCAGUCCUGUCUGAUCUCGGAAGCUAAGCAGGAAGCUAAGCAGGGUCGGGCCUGGUUAGUACUUGAGUGGGAGACCACCUAGGAAGACUAGGUGCUGUAGGUG